rnacentral:misc_RNA from 1 species
CCCUAAUUAACCUUCCAGUUCUUCUAGGAUCAACUGCAAUGAUGCCUCCAGCAACAGCAGUAAACUACAAUUCCUGGAUCAUAGUAGGAACAUUUUUUAAUUUCUUCAUCUUCCGCUACCGGAAGCAGUGGUGGCAAAGGUACAAUUACAUUCUUUCAGCAGCACUGGAUGCAGGGGAGUUUCAUGGCAGUGCUAUUGUACUUUUCAUUGGGCAUGGAAAACAGAAGUUUAACUUGGUGGGGG